UGGGUGAAGUGAAAGGUCCGUAUUUAAGCACAUUUGCUGCGAAUGUCAGGCACUGGGUUUCAUAUUUUCUCGGGAGUUGGAGGUCAUGACAGGGAGAGCUGGAAAGGCAGGUGAACAAACAAGGACUCCUGAAGUGUGUGUAUACACAUGGAAAAAUCCUGGCUUUAAUGAAGAAGUACUUUUCUGAUACAGCCAGGAUCUGGGAAGAUAUUCUUCAGACAGGUUUGCCAUUUGAGGAUCAGGACACCUCUGAGGACGCCGUGCUGAUAAGUGCUCCGCUGUGAGAACUGAAUUCCAUAGAUGGUGACAUGUAAAGAUGUCAUCUAUGGAUCCAGUUCUUUUGGCUUGGUACUGGUUUGUCGAGCACAUUGUUUGGAAUCCGACAGCAGCUCUCAUGAUCAUCUAAAUCAAUUAAUACUGGUAGGCCUAUAAGUGUUGAAUUCAGACUAUUUUUGUAUUUGUGUGUUUGAACUGUAAGUCCAAGUUGUUUAAAAUUUUGAUUUAUUUUCCUGGUAGUUAGUUGGAAUUGAAUAAUAAUUGUAGAUAAUUAAUGUUUUUGUUGCAUUUAAGAAAAGUGUGUAACAUUUGGUUUUCAUUUAAUUUUAUUUCUUUUUAUUGUAUGAUGCAACAUUUUGCCUCAUAUGUGUUGUUCCUGCUUUUCCUUCGGUAUUUGGGACUGAAUUCUGUAACAAACUAUGAUUAUAAUUCGUGACAACAGGUAAAAUAUUUAAGCAGAAAUUACAACUGAUUUAAUCUGUUGCAUUUGGUUUGUUUUCUGUCUACAAAGUUUUACAAAGUUCAUAAAGGACUCUGUAAAUACAAUGAACUAUGAGGUGUUUGUAAAUUGAAAAUUGCUCUUGCUAGCUGUUUUUGCAGAUGAAACAAUAUACACAAAAACUGUUUAAAAACAAGAGCAAUGAGAAAUGUAUGUAGUUUCUGAAAUGUAUGUAGACUGAAACGGCAAAUAUCGAUGUUCUACUCAUAAUAUCCUCCUGAAUCAGAACGUAAGGACUGCCACAUCAUGAGAUCAAAGCUGAAUGUUUCACAUUGAAAGGUUAUUAAUUGUAGUUUCACCUUAUUAUUCACUUCCACCCACAAAGAGAUUAGGCCUGCUCUUACAAAAAGAGUGGUUGUUACAGUUUCAGCUGUUGCCAUUUACUACACAGACUUCUCUCAGGGCAUUUGAGUCAUAGGAAUUGUGACCUUUUUGUUUAAUCGUGUGUACAUCACUGUAAACUUACACAAUUUUCUACCAUUCUGAUCAAAGUUUAAACAAAAUCAGAGGUGGAGACAGUGACUGUUCAGCUUGAAUACAGUUUAUUUCACACAAAUCGAGCUACGCUGUAGACGCACGUCAGCCAUGGGGCUUGUACCCUGUGCUUGAAUACCCUAUUUAUCAUGUGGCAUAGGAAAUGUGGUUUUUCUUGUACCACUGCAUGCAUAAUCAAUGCAUGAUGGAAACACACCAAACUCAUUAUUAAAUAACCUGUAAAAAAUUAACAAAAAAUUAACAUUAACUACCAGAUUAGCUGGUAGUAACUCAGUGUUUCAUUUACACAAAGUUUAAUUGAUAUUGUCAGAUGUAAAAGAUUCUGUGAAACACGUACACCACAAUCAACUCUGAUCAAGGAAGGAAGGGUGUGAAAUAACUUCUUUAACUUAUGUAUGUGUUAAUUUUGUCCCUGUGACUUGAGAUUUUUUAAAUAAAAUAUUUCAAAGAAAAAAAAA